UGAGGAACAUGACCUUCGGCGGGGGAUAGCCGGCCCAACGGCCGGGUAAUACCGCGUACGACCACAUGGGGACAUCCCUGAGUGGUGAAAGCAGCAAUGCGCCGAUGGAGUGCCUCGCGGCCUAUCAGCUAGUUGGUGAGGUAAUGGCCCACCAAGGCGACGACGGGUAGCCGGCCUGAGAGGGUGACCGGCCACACUGGGACUGAGACACGGCCCAGACUCCUACGGGAGGNAGCG
rnacentral:rRNA from 1 species